GUUCUCUUCCGGCCGGAGGCAGUGGCGGGGUUCUCGCCGGUCCUGCGGGUCGCUGCUCGGCUGUGGGUUAGUAGCACCCUGAGCGGAGCGGAAGAGCUGCCCGCCGCCGCGUAACCCCGAGGCCGAGACUCCCGGCCUGGCCUCCUUGGGCCCACGACGCCUGCCCCGCGGAGCGGACCCAUGGGCCUGAGGUUUGUGUGCGGGGCCUCAGGCGAGCGCUGGCGCAGCCUGUCCCCCAUCCUCUGCGCCCUGCGGGCCUGGCCCUCCCCGUGGAAGGACCGCGGGCUUCGGGGCCCCACGCUGGGGGGCUGACUCCUGCCACAUACACAGCGGUGGCCGCGGGCCUGGGGCGGCAGCACAGCCAUUCUGCUCGGGCUGCGUGAGCUGACCCCGCUCUCUGUGCACCUACUUUUGCUGCGUUUGGUGCUGAGCCUGAAGUCCCAGGACAGGCGGCUGAGGGGGUAAGAUGGUGUGAAUUGGGUGGGCAGAGACAACUGAAAGCCAUAGGACCCGGUUGGCACCUUUUUGGCCUCCUGGGCCUUUGCCUGCAGCCCCGCUCCCUGGGUCACCCGAAGGAGGAGCUGGCGCUCUUUCCGGGCGCAGAAGCACCCGACCCACGCUGGAGGAAACGGUCCCCCUGGGCAGGAGAAGCUUUGGGCCUGGCUGGAGCACACUCACGGAACCACGCCAACGCCUGGCCUGUAGCCAGCUCCCACCUCCCCUCCCACCUUCUAAAAUGCUUGCGGAUCUCUCGUGGCCGACCCUAACCAGAUACACAUGGGGAAAGGAAUCAGGUGGCACACACACUGCCUUUACUCCAUAGAGAACUUCCAAUUGUGGGUAAGAACAAAGCCCCACCUCUGCCUAAUAGAUGCAGUUUUCCACCUGCAGCCAAAAAGACAACCUGUUACUACCUUUUUCCCCAGAGGACAGGUAUCUCUAUGAAACUGCCAUUGCAAAAUUUGCCGACAGUGAGAUAACCAGCUCCAUCUUGCUUCUAACCUCCAUGCCCUCCUUGUUUAUUGCUGCGCGCAGGUUGAACUGUGGGAGGAACUUAGUUUAAAACAAAGAUGAUAACAGCCCUUUCCCAAAAGAAACCUUUCCUGGGGACUAGCCUGCUUUUGUGGGACCAACAGAUUAGCCACAAGAUUAGAAACUACGGUUGAAGAGUCACGCAGCUGGAGGCUACAGGAUUCUGACCCUCCCCAAACUGCUCCUGGCGAUAACAUGACCAUCGUAAAGCCUAAGAUCAGCACUUGAUGGGUCGCCUGGCACCACCCAGGCUCAUCUGAUGUUGUGGCACCCAGGAACUGACUCAGUGCGAAAACAACAGCUUCGAACUCCCUAGGAUUUCAUGUCUGACCUGACCAAUGGGUACUUCUGACUCACUGGCUGCCCCCCACCCACCAGCUUAUCUUUAAAAACUCCAAACCCCAGAUGCUCAGGGAGACCGAGUAAUAAUAAAACUCCAGUCUCCCACACAGCUAGCUCUGCGUGAAUUACUUUUUCUCUGUUGCAAAUGCCCUUUCUUGAUAAAUUGGCUGUCUAGUAACAGGGAAGGUGAACCCAUUGGGCAGUUACACUUCUGUCCACCCUUCCAGCUGGAUCACGCACCCUCUUCAAUGACAUGACACGCAGCUAGGGUUGUAUGAGCUUGCUGCCGGCACCUUCCGUCUUGGAUCGCAUAGCAAGGCCUCAACGGACAGCCAGGUGCCUGGUCCGGUCCCACUUUUUUUUCUGUCCUGUUCUCGUUUCCUCUUUGCUUGGCCCAAGAGGGUUGGGCCAGGGUCCUGAGUGCAAGGGCUUGGCUUGAAUUAAAGUGGCAGUAGCCGUGUGGCAGAGAAAAUUCGUAGAUGGGUGAAAUCCUGCAGCUGUUGAUGUUAACAGCAUCCUGGGCCUACACAGAGACAAAGUGUAUAUAGACAGCCAGCCUACUUGGUGGAUGUGACAACCCCAGACUCUUCUAGAUUUGUGGAUCCAUGCACCUGCCAGACCUGUCUCUGAGCCAUCUGGGGAGGCUGGGUAAGAUUCCCCCGUCAGGGCCUGAGCCUCAUCUCCAAGCUGCUGGCUUCAGCCCAGCUGCCACCAGCGCUGUCUCUGUCUUGCGCUUUCCAGAGGGAGACUGACUCAUUUUGAGCUCGAGGCCUACCAGGCAGCCCAACCGCGGCAGUAACUGCCUCUCACACUGAGGAUGGCUCAUGCUCUGGUCCAGCCAUGGCUUGAACACCUCCCAACGAGAACAAAGCCAGAUUCAUUCUCCCCAGCGUCUUCCUUGCUCAAAGAUCCUACACACCGUUAGAAGCUGGAACUGGGUCCUUGUUACCUUCCUCACCUCCCCAGUCCUAGUCUGGUUAAUCCUCACAUCUCACCACGGUCACCGUGGCUAGAUGUGACCCAGCGAUGCUUCAUGCACGUGCUAGGGCAGCCUGGGCAGGGCUGGUCACUGCGAUCUCAUGAGGUGUGAACUUGACCCCGGGCUUCUUUCCUGGGAUGCCAGCUAAGGACACAAGUUCCGUGUUUACCCUGGCUUGUAGCCCGGCAGGGGCUCUGUCAUCCCCUGAGGAAUGCCUCGGCCUGCAAGACCGCAUACCGCAUUGGAACAGGGAAACCACCUACUUCAGCACCUCCCUCAGCAAGGUGGCAGGUCCCAACAAGCCUUGCACCAUGAGGAAGUGGCAGUGGCAUUCGGGAUAUGGCUCCCUGGCCAGCUUGUGAAGUUCAAGGGGCUCAUUACUUCUUACAGCUCAGCCCCUCCCGGGUCCAGCACACCUGAGGGCUGACCUCCCUCUUGAUUAGUGCAGGGGAAAAGCACUUUAAAAAGCUGUGUCAUGUGUAACUUGCGCAUCUUCUGAUUCUGACCUGAAACUGCAUCCCAGGUCGGCACAGACGCAACCCAGUCUCCUCCCACCUCCUAGAGUGCAGUGUCCUGAAUGGAGGACCCCAGCACACAGAAGCAUCCACUGAAGGACGUAAGUAGGACAAGGCCAACUGUGGCUGUUCCAGCAGAGGGACUGUGGGUGAUGUUUCCCUUCUCUGAUUUCUAAGAUAUCUGCAAACUUGUUUCAUUUAUAAUUGAAAAUACAAUUUGCAUAACAACAGUAAAUUCUACACAUGAAGGCAAACGUCCGUGGUUGACAGAAAUUACACUGGCCAGAAUCCCCAGUCCCCAUGAGGCUUGUCCAGACGCAGUGAACCAGUCGCAGCUGACAACACACAGACCAUUCCCGAUCCCAGAGGUGCAUUUCAGGAUUCAUUCUAUUUCAUCAGGUGUGUCCUGGAACCCUGGCUGCACCCACAGACACAGCCACUCCUGGGCCCAUGUGGAUGGAACCUUUGAGUGCCGGAAUGCCUCGUCUCCAUGGAGACCAAACUCAAGGGCCUGACUGGCCCAGUCUACCGAGACCACGAGCCCUGCUGUGCCCCUCGGCCAGGCCAACCCAAAUUCUUUUAAAUAAAAGGCACAAGCCACAGCCACA